rnacentral:lncRNA from 12 species
AUGGAGUCAACUCAGGGGAACUUCAAGGUCCUUUUGGUGCUAUUCAAGCAAAGAAAUGGGAAUACUGCUAAAACAGGAGGAGCUGGGUGGAGUCAGAAGGUUGAUUUGGAACUAGCAGAGCAUUCAGUGGUUUCAGCAGGGAGCCUUCGAGUUGGAUGGAGUCAGGAACACACGGAGGACUUUGGUGCACACUCUGCAGCUCCUGCCAUAAGCACAGGCCCAAGCAGCUGAUGGCAGUGAAGGGGAAGUUUGUGUUUGCUCCGUGGAAGAUCCCUGGACUCCCACAGUGAACGUGAGUACUUUGGUGCAGUUCAAUGUCCAGAUAUCAAAAUAAGCUUGGUUCCCUUUGCCUC